rnacentral:lncRNA from 1 species
AUCGGAGCCACAACCAUCACGAAGCCGGCACAUCAAGUGUUUUAGGUGUUCGGGGUCGGGACACAUUGCAUCUCAAUGUCCUAACAAACGAACCAUGGUGUUGCGGGAUAAUGGAGAGGUGGUAAGUGAGAGCGAAGGAGAGUAUGAUGACAUACCGACAUUGGAGGAUAUUGGUGGUGAAGAUGAGAUGAAAUUUGCCGUUGGGUAGCAGCUGGUCUCGAGGCAGCACUUAAUACUCAAAUCAAGAUAGAUGAUUCAGAGCAACAGCGGGAGAACAUAUUCCACACUCAAUUCCACGUCCAUGAUCAAGUAUGUAGCUUGAUUAUUGAUGAUGGGAAUUGCACAAAAGUGGUUAGCACAACUUUAGUUGAGAAAUCGGGUUUAGCAUUAUUGAGACAUCCUAGGCCUUAUAAAUUGCAGUGGUUGAAUGAGAGUAGGAAAGUUAGGGUAAACAAAUAGGCAUUAAUUAAUUUAUCAAUUAGGAGAUAUAGUGAUAAGGUUGUAUGUGAUGUGAUGCCUAUGCAAGCGGGUUAUUUUCUAUUGGGGAGACCCU